UCGGGAAUUUUGGGCAAUGGGCGAAAGCCUGACCCAGCAACGCCGCGUGAAGGAUGAAGUAUUUCGGUAUGUAAACUUCGUAAGAAUAGGAAGAAUAAAUGACGGUACUAUUUGUAAGGUCCGGCUAACUACGUGCCAGCAGCCGCGGUAAUACGUAGGGACCAAGCGUUGUUCGGAUUUACUGGGCGUAAAGGGCGCGUAGGCGGUGUGUCAAGUCAGUUGUGAAAUCUCCGAGCUUAACUCGGAACGGUCAACUGAUACUGUCACACUAGAGUACAGAAGGGGCAAUCGGAAUUCUUGGUGUAGCGGUGAAAUGCGUAGAUAUCAAGAGGAACACCUGAGGUGAAGACGGGUUGCUGGGCUGACACUGACGCUGAGGCGCGAAAGCCAGGGGAGCAAACGGGAUUAGAUACCCAAGUAGUCCCUGAGCGGGCUGGCAAGGC
rnacentral:rRNA from 1 species